GACGUAGGGUGCGAGCGUUGUCCGGAUUUAUUGGGCGUAAAGAGCUCGUAGGCGGCUCGUCGCGUCGUCCGUGAAAACCCGCGGCUUAACCGCGGGCUUGCGGUUGAUACGGGCGGGCUAGAGUUCGGUAGGGGAGACUGGAAUUCCUGGUGUAGCGGUGAAAUGCGCAGAUAUCAGGAGGAACACCGGUGGCGAAGGCGGGUCUCUGGGCCGAUACUGACGCUGAGGAGCGAAAGCGUGGGGAGCGAACAGG
rnacentral:rRNA from 1 species